UGUGUGUAUUGAUAAGGAAACUAUUAUAUAAAGAAUUUGAUACCACAAGUAUUAACCAACUUAAUAAACCUCAGUUGCUGACAUUGCCAUUGUUGUCACAGUAGGUAGCAUUGACAUUUUCAUUAUUAACGUUCCCAAUAGAGCCGCCACCGUUGCCACCACCCAUGAUCGACGAUAUUGCCGUCGCCAGGGCGGCAGUAAAGUUCGGAUCCGCCGUGAGGGCAGUUACGGUGUCAGCCAAAGCAGCAUGUGGAGGCCCUUGUGGAUGAAUAUUUUGAGACAUUUGAAGCCCUGAGAAUUUAGAGUGAUUGUUUAAAGGCUGCCCGAAAAACUGGGGCAAUGAGCUCGAGUUCAAAAAGGGUAGUUGGAGUUGAUCACGUUGAAAGUGUAACGGGUUUGGAGUUUGAGUGAGGUCUAGUGUGACUGUUGGAAAUGGGGCGGAUGCUGAAAUGCUAGUCAUGUUAGAUGAGUAUGGAAAGAGAGUUGUUGAUAAAUAAUUUGAAUUCGUGACGCCGUCAGAACUCGGCAUGGAGCCGGAGAGGAGCAUCUGGGCAGCGGAAGAGGUGGUGGAGGCCAUCGCCAUAGCGGCGGGCGGGAGAGGAUUACUUGUUUUCUAACGGGGCAUCCGACAGCCAUGGUGCACCGGUAAUAUGCCCGCGGACAUGGGUUUCCUUUCGC
rnacentral:lncRNA from 1 species